CGUGUCUGGUGGGUAGUUUGACUGGGGCGGUCUCCUCCUAAAGAGUAACGGAGGAGCACGAAGGUUGGCUAAGCAUGGUCGGACAUCAUGCGGUUAGUGCAAAGGCAUAAGCCAGCUUGACUGCGAGAGUGACGGCUCGAGCAGGUACGAAAGUAGGUCUUAGUGAUCCGGUGGUUCUGAAUGGAAGGGCCAUCGCUCAACGGAUAAAAGGUACUCCGGGGAUAACAGGCUGAUACCGCCCAAGAGUUCAUAUCGACGGCGGUGUUUGGCACCUCGAUGUCGGCUCAUCACAUCCUGGGGCUGAAGUAGGUCCCAAGGGUAUGGCUGUUCGCCAUUUAAAGUGGUACGCGAGCUGGGUUUAGAACGUCGUGAGACAGUUCGGUCCCUAUCUGCCGUGGGCGUUGGAAGAUUGAGAGGGGUUGCUCCUAGUACGAGAGGACCGGAGUGAACGCACCACUGGUGUUCGGGUUGUCAUGCCAAUGGCAUUGCCCGGUAGCUAAGUGCGGAAGAGAUAACCGCUGAAAGCAUCUAAGCGGGAAACUUGCC
rnacentral:rRNA from 1 species